UACGGAGGGGGCUAGCGUUGUUCGGAAUUACUGGGCGUAAAGCGCACGUAGGCGGAUUGUUAAGUGAGGGGUGAAAUCCCAGGGCUCAACCCUGGAACUGCCUUUCAUACUGGCAAUCUUGAGUCCGGAAGAGGUGAGUGGAACUCCUAGUGUAGAGGUGGAAUUCGUAGAUAUUAGGAAGAACACCAGUGGCGAAGGCGGCUCACUGGUCCGGUACUGACGCUGAGGUGCGAAAGCGUGGGGAGCAAACAGG
rnacentral:rRNA from 1 species